GUUACGAUUUGUUGGAACGAGUGA
rnacentral:siRNA from 1 species